GGGCCCGUAGCUCAGUUGGUUAGAGCAGGGGACUCAUAAUCCCUUGGUCGCAGGUUCGAGUCCUGCCGGGCCUA
rnacentral:tRNA from 1 species